rnacentral:rRNA from 1 species
GACGAACGCGGCGGCGUGCCUAAUACAUGCAAGUAGAACGCUGAAGGAGGAGCUUGCUUCUCCGGAUGAGUUGCGAACGGGUGAGUAACGCGUAGGUAACCUGCCUGGUAGCGGGGGAUAACUAUUGGAAACGAUAGCUAAUACCGCAUAACAGUAGAUGUUGCAUGACAUUUGCUUAAAAGGUGCAAUUGCAUCACUACCAGAUGGACCUGCGUUGUAUUAGCUAGUUGGUGGGGUAACGGCUCACCAAGGCGACGAUACAUAGCCGACCUGAGAGGGUGAUCGGCCACACUGGGACUGAGACACGGCCCAGACUCCUACGGGAGGCAGCAGUAGGGAAUCUUCGGCAAUGGACGGAAGUCUGACCGAGCAACGCCGCGUGAGUGAAGAAGGUUUUCGGAUCGUAAAGCUCUGUUGUAAGAGAAGAACGAGUGUGAGAGUGGAAAAGUUCACACUGUGACGG